UAUUGUUCUGGCGUGUCUGUGUCGUUCGCUUCCACUGCAGUGUACACUGCUUAUUUAUAUAUUCGCUUCUGCAGCCUUCAGGACCAGCACUGCUAGAAACGUAAUGAAUGUAACAAGGCACGUUUCAUAGCACCUACGUAAUAAAGAGCGUUCCAUACCGGCUCGCAGUGUGUGCAAGGAGUUUGAAGUGUCACAGCUAAACCAGAGGUAUGCAGUCCCUCUUCCUGAGACUCGAGUACCUCAUUGUCCUGGCUGUUCUACACAUCUGCCCCCUACAUGCAGCCGUUGGCAGCACCCCUGUGAUCUCUCUUGAUGAAGACACUCGUUAUGGUUUCAAAGUGUCCUGUGUCUCGAGAGGGUGGUAUCCCAAACCUGAAUUGCAGUGGACGGAUGGGAGAGGCGCAGUUUUAACAGCCGAAACCAGCGAGGAGCAGGACGGGCAGGGGCUGUACACAGUCAGGAGUUAUCUGAGGACACCCGAGCCGGAGGGGGGCCAGGUUUCCUGCGUCAUUAAAUACGGAAAGGACCAGGGAGAGCUGCGAUCGAGCACUAAAAUCAUUGCAGGACACAGUAUUCCAUCUCUUCCAGGCUGGCAUCUGUCCUGUGCACUGCUUUCAGCUGCUUUUACUUCUGUGCUGUUGUUAAUAGUGCUCAGCCUGGCAAUCAGCAGACGCUGCUGCUGGCAACAUAACAAAAUUAGACCUGUGGGCCUGGUUUGACAGUGCAACAUCCUUGCUGUGAAGAUUUACACAUGAAAACAAACAACCAACAACUGGCAGCGUCUCAAGCAGUGCAUCACAAAUAAACUGAACAAAGCUGUCCCGUUGGCAUUACCAGCCAGUGGGAAACAUUCUGUUAUUAGGACAGGAUUUAUUCAGCGUCAGUUUUGUUUUUGUUUUAAAACAGUGUUUAUUUCUUUUUUUGCAAUUCCUUAAUAAAGUUAAACUUCAUUUCCACCCAGUUGCAGACCCCGAUAACGACCACGCCGUCCAGCUCAACCGAGUGCCCACCUGCUGUUGGGUCUUUGCUGCGUGAACUGGCAUGCAAUCCGAGAGAAUAAUAAAGAGAUGCAGUCGUGGACUGGGGAAAGUGUGAUCAGUGCAUUAGCAGUGAGGUAUCCUGCAGAACCUGGUCUAUAUAUCUGUGUAGGUAUGCUGUAUAGCAGUGUUUCCCAACCCUGUUCCUGGCGGCACACCGUGUCUGCUGGUUCUCGUUCCAACGCAGCACUCAAUUGCUUAAAUUAACCGUAUCAACAAAUGAAUAGCUUGAAAAUAACAGGAAAAUGUCCAGUUAAUCACUUUAUUAGUUCAAUGAAGGGUUCAAGAAAAUGUGCCUAUUCAGGUCUAAAAUUCUAAUGCGUUUAAAAAGUAAGCAGCAGGUUGUUUGAAGCGAGGUGGCUGUGCUAGAUCGUACGUGUAAUACUGAUUUAACUUGGAUACAAACGACAGGAAUACUUUUUGUCUGCGCUGACUUUCAAGUGUUUUCUGAAAGCUGUUGUUUGUUUUGCGUUCUGUUCAGCAGCCUCUGUAGUAGCCUUUCAUUUAAUGUGUGAUUCUGAAGCUAAAUAGCGAUCGAUCGUAUUUUCUCCAGUCAUAUUACAAGAUGUGCAAAACAAUUACCUCCAUCUGCACGUACAGUUUCUUUGGGAAAUAUCUUGACACGAUCAUCAACUGAAAUAUACUUUGCUUUUUAUGCUUUGUUGUGCAUUUCUGGUAUUUUACCGCCAAUGCUGAAAAGUAGAUUUUAGCAACCUAAAUCAAAACAAUGCAGCACUGACUUUGUCCCACCUGCUACUGCACAAGAUGCUCAGAUAUAUUGUGAGAAGUGUUGAAUUUAAAUCAAGGGAAGUAAUGUUAAAACUUUACAAUGCAUUAGUAAGACCACACCUAGAAUAUUGUGUUCAGUUCUGGUCACCUCAUUGCAAAAAGGAUAUUGCUGCUGUAGAAAGAGUGCAAAGAAGAGCGACCAGAAUUAUCCCAGGUUUAAAAGGCAUUGUCAUAUGGAGACAGGCUAAAAGAAUUGAAUCUAUUCUGUCUUGAACAAAGAAGACUACACGGCGAUCUGAUUCAAACAUUCAAAAUCCUAAAAGGUAUAGACAAUGUCGACCCAGGGGACUUUUUUGACCUGAAAAAAGAAACAAGAACCAGGGGUCACAAAUGGAGAUUAGAUAAAGGGGCGUUCAGAACAGAAAAUAGGAGGCACUUUUUUACACAGAGAAUUGUGAGGGUCUGGAACCAACUCCCCAGUAAUGAUUGAUUCUGGGAUCAAUAAGCUACUAACAACCAAACGAGCAUGAUGGGCUGAAUGGCCUCCUCUCGUUUGUAAACUUUCUUAUGUUCUUAUGUUCUUAUGUUCUAGUACAGGUCACAGAAAAGCCAGUACAGACGCACUGAUAGGCUGAUUAAAACAUUGUUGUCAUUUGAACAGUAAACAAGAACGUUAACCACUUUGGAAUAUUUUUUUGUAAAUGCUGUUUGUCUAAGAAUGUUUUUUUUGCCUAAGGACGCCAUAGGAAUAAAAAAAAAGCCUAUCUACAGAAGGAAGAUACGUAGUUUGUGUCGCUUGCAUUGUGCAUUAGUUCAUUUAAACAAGGUUUCUUUAUUUUCUCUCUGUACUUGUCCAGUAUGCAUUGGCCCCUAAAAGAGGUGAAUUUUGUGGUGACCCCUCAAUUUCACGAUUUCCGCGAAAUUGCGAUUCAGGUAGACCCCUACUCAUAAUCCCGCCAGGGUUAAUCUUUGAGCUCAAUAAGCAGACACUUCUUGCACCCCAAGCAGCUAUUGGUGCAACAAUUAGAUAAUAAAAAAAUGAACAGGGCUGCAGAGUUCAAACAGCACUUGAGAUACAAACACACAGCUUCAUUAAAACAACACUGUAGCAGGGUGGUAGAAAGCCCUGCUGUUUAAAUGUAUUAUUUGUUUAUUUUUAGAACGGGGUACCCCUCUGCCCCUGUGCAGUGUAUUGUUUUGCAUUUGUUUUAGUUGUUGCAGUAGUAGUCGUAUUAUUAUUAUUAUUAUUGUUAUGAUUUAUGAUUGUAUUUAUAUGACGGUGAAAGCCAUGUUAUUGUCUAUUUGUAUUUAUUUAAAAAUGUGUUUAUAUAUGACGGCGGACCGCCGCAGGUUUUUGUAUUGUUUAGUAGCGUGGGUGGGUAGCCCCAUCCACAGUAAUUUAAAAAACUCGUGCAGAUUGUGGCCGAGGGGUAAUAGAAUAAUUGCCACCUAGUUAAACCCCUUGGCCACGGUAUAAAAAGCCUGCAGCCCCCCAUGUUCAGGGUCGGUGUUUGAGAGGAGGAACUAGAGGGCAAGGAGCGAGAGAGAAAACAAAACUUAAAAAUUAAACGUAUAGGAUCAGUGAAGGCUACUGCCCAGCCUGACCUGUAUUGUUUGGUAUUUUGUGCUGGUGAUUUAGUCCUGUUUUAUUUUGCUCUGUGAGCACAGUGUUUUUGUUUAAACCUUUUAUUUUUGAACUGCAGUGUCAGUGUUGUCCCUUCCUGCAUCUGGCCUGACGUCACUACUCAGCCACCCUGUCACAAACACCUUGACGUGGCUUUUGAUUUUAUAAAAGCCAGAAGAAGAGCCACUUGUUUUUCAUUAACAAAAUCUUCCAUACUGGACAUUUCAGUCUCAUAGGAGUGGCUUUCAGUCAUAAAGUCAGUGGUUUUCAGUCAGGGAGGAGCAGGUACUUCAGUUUCUGAAGUAUAUUCCUGUCUAAAAUAUAGUUAUUUAUUAACAUGGGGUUGCAAUGUAAGUUUGGACUCUUAACCCGCCUGUCUCAGGCUAAUAAAGAGUGUGGGAACAUGUGUUCAGAAGGUACAUGCAAUCUGGGGAGAAUCCUGUUUGCUGGGUCUCAUCCCAUCAAAAUGUCUCAAUUAUUCAACAAAUACACCACAAUGUUGGGACUGUAUAUUAAAACUGUACAGUUACAUGUUUUCCUUAUGCCUGUACAUAUCAGUUUGUUAAAAUGAAUACACCUGUGCAUGUUUUCAAUAGAAGUGGGAUUGUUUUACAUGAAUCCAUAUGAUCUGUUUCUGAUUAGAUAUUGUAGUAUGUGUGUUUGCUUACCGAUGCUGGUAACUGUUCUGGUUGAGACGAUUGUAACCAUUACCCUAUUGGACUGACAAUAAAGCUUUAACUUUUGUAAUCAGUGGAGGUUAACAAGCUGAAUAACAAUAAAAUAAAAUAAAAUAAAAUGUCUGGACAUUCCAAACUUCUAAUGUUCUUU